AUUUAAAUAGCUUAAAUUUUAAAGCGUAGUAUUGAAGCUACUAAUAUGGUUAUUUAACCUUUAAAUA
rnacentral:tRNA from 1 species